rnacentral:rRNA from 1 species
AAAUGAAUAGACGGGGGCCCGCACAAGCGGAGGAACAUGUGGUUUAAUUCGAUGAUACGCGAGGAACCUUACCCGGGCUUAAAUGUAUAUUGCAUAAACCAGAGAUGGUUUUUUCUUUCACGAGACUAUUUACAAGGUGCUGCAUGGUUGUCGUCAGCUCGUGCCGUGAGGUGUCGGGUUAAGUCCCAUAACGAGCGCAACCCCUAUUCUUAGUUGCCAACGGGUUAUGCCGGGAACUCUAAGGAGACUGCCGCCGCAAGGCGCGAGGAAGGUGGGGAUGACGUCAAAUCAGCACGGCCCUUACGUCCGGGGCUACACACGUGUUACAAUGGCAGGUACAGAGGGUCGCUACACCGCGAGGUGAUGCUAAUCUCGAAAGCCUGUCUCAGUUCGGAUCGUAGUCUGCAACCCGACUACGUGAAGUUGGAUUCGCUAGUAAUCGCAUAUCAGCCAUGAUGCGGUGAAUACGUUCCCGGGCCUUGUACACACCGCCCGU